AUUGAACGCUGGCGGCAGGCCUAACACAUGCAAGUCGAACGAGUGGAGGACGGGUGAGUAAUGUAUGGGAAACUGCCAGGUGGAGGGGGAUAACUACUGGAAACGGUAGCAAAUACCGCAUACCAUCGGAUGUGCCCAGAUGGGAUGAGCUAGUAGUUGGGGUAAAGGCUCACUUAGGCGACAAGCCCUAGCUGGUCUGAGAGGAUAACCAGCCACACUGGAACUGAGAAACGGUCCGGACUCCUACGGAAGGAAGAAGUGGGGAAUAUUGGACAAUGGGCGCGAGCCUGAUGCAGCCAUGCCGCGUGUAUGAAGAAGGCUUUCGGGUUGUAAAGUACUGUCAGCGGGGAGGCGUUACCCGCAGAAGAAGCUCCGGCUAACUCCGUGCCAGCAGCCGCGGUAAUUC
rnacentral:rRNA from 1 species